GACGAACGCUGGCGGCGUGCCUAAUACAUGCAAGUAGAACGCUGAAGGAGGAGCUUGCUUCUCUGGAUGAGUUGCGAACGGGUGAGUAACGCGUAGGUAACCUGCCUGGUAGCGGGGGAUAACUAUUGGAAACGAUAGCUAAUACCGCAUAAUAGUAGAUGUUGCAUGACAUUUACUUAAAAGGUGCAAUUGCAUCACUACCAGAUGGACCUGCGUUGUAUUAGCUAGUUGGUGGGGUAACGGCUCACCAAGGCGACGAUACAUAGCCGACCUGAGAGGGGGAUCGGCCACACUGGGACUAAGACACGGCCCAGACUCCUACGGGAGGCAGCAGUAGGGAAUCUUCGGCAAUGGACGAAAGUCUGACCGAGCAACGCCGCGUGAGUGAAGAAGGUUUUCGGAUCGUAAAGCUCUGUUGUAAGAGAAGAACGAGUGUGAGAGUGGAAAGUUCACACUGUGACGGUAUCUUACCAGAAAGGGACGGCUAACUACGUG
rnacentral:rRNA from 1 species